GACGACGCUGGCGGCGCGCCUAACACAUGCAAGUCGAACGGAGUUUCCCCUUCGGGGGAGCUUAGUGGCGGACGGGUGAGUAACACGUGAGGAACCUGCCUUUCAGAGGGGGAUAACGUAUGGAAACGUACGCUAAUACCGCAUGACAUAUAUUUGCCGCAUGGCAGAUAUAUCAAAGGAGCAAUCCGCUGAGAGAUGGGCUCGCGUCCGAUUAGAUAGUUGGUGGGGUAACGGCCUACCAAGUCAGCGAUCGGUAGCCGGACUGAGAGGUUGAACGGCCACAUUGGGACUGAGACACGGCCCAGACUCCUACGGGAGGCAGCAGUGGGGGAUAUUGCACAAUGGGCGAAAGCCUGAUGCAGCAACGCCGCGUGAGGGAAGACGGUUUUCGGAUUGUAAACCUCUGUCUUUGGUGACGAAACAAAUGACGGUAGCCAAGGAGGAAGCCACGGCUAACUACGUG
rnacentral:rRNA from 1 species